UGAAGCAGGGCAGACCGCUGUCUCCAUCCCUAAUUUGGACCUGCAUCCUGCAGACAAACCUUGGUGCUGACAGUCACCGAUACCUUCACAGUACCACAAAGGGUGUUUAUGGAAUUGGGCACACACGUAGAAGGAGGGAUGAGCCUCCAGAACAGGAUGGUAAAGAAGGUUCUGACAUUAUAUUUACAGUGUAAAUAUAAUGCAGUUAUAUCACAAAUACAAGCUGGUGUCACCUGUACUGAGAACCCUGGUGCAGCACUGAGCCCAGCGCUGGCAGUCCCUGAGUCUGAUUGCAGCCUGCUUGGGUCUGAGCAACAGCAGCUGUGCAGGUUUCUGUAUGUACAUCGAAUUUUCAUCUAGGGAAAUGAUAGCCAUGCCAUUGUUCACUCAAAAGACAGCAGCCUUGUUCCAGUGAAAGCUUUGCAUUGCACCAGGACAUUCUCCAGGAGCGCUCUGCUGUAUGCAUUCCCACUGGUUGGGGCAGAGUUUCAUUUUUGUCCCUUUUCACUCUACCUUUCCCAAACCUGGUGUGUCCGAAAGCACUGUCAGGCUGAACUGCAGCACACCCCAGGACGCACCUCUGAGAAAAUACGAGAGCAGUGCUGUGGGUGCACACAUGGUUAGAAGGUAGCAUGCUGCAGUCACAGUAAUUUCAGAACACAAAGCAGUGGAAGUUCUGCAGUAAAGGCUUUGUUCUCACGGCGCAUUAGAAACUACUCCAGC
rnacentral:lncRNA from 1 species